ACAAAUAUGAGUCAGAUGAUUAAACUUUGUAACGAUAUAAUUAAAAAUAUUACUACGUAAAAGGCAAAUCAAGUUAAUAGCAUGUUAAUGUGGUCAUUUAUUUUCUUUAAAAGUUCAUGAGUGCUAUAAAAAAUUAAAUAGGAUUAUAAAUAGAAUCGGAUAUUCAAAGAUUCGGAUAUGAAAAUGAAUAUGGAUGGGUAUUAUCUGGUACACUUUCACCUCUACUUUUGAUAGUACUAACAGGCUCUUUGUUGUGGCACUAACAUAUCUAUCGAAUUGCCAUUCAGGACUGUACCCUGAGUUCAAAGAAAGCUUCCAUAGCGGGCAACUGCAUCAAGUUUCUGCCAAUCUCUAAGUUGCUAUGUUUUCUUCUAAAAUUCAGCCAAAUCAAGUGAUUGUGGAAAUGACUAUUUUUAUUGAUUUUUCUGGUCUUUUCUGAAGUUCUAUCAAUAUUAAGGUUUUUUUUUUUCUUCAUUUGAGAAACACUGUAAUGGUGCUAGAUUGCAGAUAGGGGAAUCUGUUAUGUAAUUUGAAGGAUCUGAUUUAAAGUCCAAUCUGUUUACGGGCAUGGAUAUUGUUAUUGUUCCUAGUGGUCAAGGAUAUUGGUGAAAUCUAAUAUUCUAAUGUAUACCAAUGUAUCCUGCUUUGUAACCAUGUGAAUUGAUUUCCCUGUGCUGAUUGCUAUCAUGUGUUGUAUGGAUGUAUCAACAAUCUGGUGUAAAUUAGUUGGUUAUUUUAUUUUGCAUUCUCUGUGAGAUCACUGCUUGGUUUGGACCCCAGUGACUGCAUGAUAGUGUGUAUUGGUGCCAUGCUCUCUGAUUAUAUAUCCUGCCUAAAGUUUUUGCUGGGUUGAGUUGUAGUUGCAAUCAUUUUACUCAGAUUCAAUUUGAACUUUGGAGACUAAAGAUGUCAAGAUUUCUGCUUCUUUUUUCAUCUCCUGCACCAUUUCAUUCUUUUUUCUUCAAUUUUGAAGUGUGCAGUAACUUCUCUAAACUGGUAUCAGGUGAUUCUUGCAAACUUGAUGUUUUAGCCAAGCAUAGUACCAUUAUAUUGCAGAUAUGCUGAAUGUGGCUUUGUAUUUUGGUUCUUCAAGUUGGAAGCAUGGGGUUCGAAAUGCUGGAUGCACGUGAAUGAGCAUAUGAUUUUGAAAUCCAUUUGAUUAUUGGUCACGGUAAACUGAAAUGUGAAGUCAACAAUGUUAAGUCACAAGAAACUUCUGCUGCUAUGGCAUCCAUGGAGGAGGAUUAGGUUGCAUGUGCUAUGUAUGAUGGAUUCAUAUGAUAACAAGACCCAUAUGAUGUUGAUGGAAUAGGAAAUUCUGAUAAGCCGAAGGAAAAAAUAUGGUCAAGAAGGAUGAUUUUUCCCUGCCAAUUGUGUAGUCAUGCUUUCCACAUACAGGAGAACUAACAGAGACAAAUAUGAAGGAGACCAUAAAUGAGUUGCAUGGAUGCCAACAGCUGCAUGUUGAAAUUGUCUAUUCACAGAUAUCUUCUGCUACUGGUAUCAAGAUGGCUUGAAGAUUUAUAAGAUAGAAGGAAGAGAGCUGAUAAGUUUUGAAGACAGGUUAAGGUUUCUUCGAGGGCACUGGAGAGUACUGCAGUAUGGAUGUUGUGCUUUUGCUUUGUUCAACGACAUGUUCCUGAGCUGGAUCCAAGGUAGUGAAUUUAUUUGCACAUCUUUGAAUCUUGGUCAAUUCAAGCACAAUCUUUAUUUUCUCCAAUUGUCUUCUUCCACAACAUGAACAUUUCACGAAACCUGUUUUUGUUCAUAGAGGACAUUCUUGUCUGCUUAAGCUCGGUCAUCAGAUCUUGGUGGGAAGAAUUUAUUUAGAUAAGAAAAGGAAAAAAAAAAAUUGACUUCAUUCAUAUCUGCGAGCUCUUCCGUUUUUUAGGUUGCUAAGCGAGAGCCACAUGUCUGAUAUUGAGAUACCCAUAGAUCUAAUCCAAGCUUACUACACUCGUAUCACCAAUAUUUUACGUGGAUUAGAGGGUGUACGUUCCCUGGCACCAGGAACUAGAGUGUAUAUCUAAAUCAGAGAACGGAAAUUAACUCUUGCUAAGAUUCCUCAGAUGAGGGACAAGAGGGGCAAAAAAGGGGGAAAAAAAAAUGAAAGAAAAGAGAAAAAAAAGGUUUCCUUUAAGAGACCGUGAGCUAUUUUGGACAUGAAAUCUUUUAUGUUUUCCAAUUGGCACGCAUAAGUGUUUCUAUCAUACUUUCCUAUUUUCCAAACUAAGUGGGGUUAGGCCUACAAAUAGGUCGGGUCGGAUCGGAUUCUGAGUGAUUCUGAUCUGAUCUGAUUUUUUGAUUGGGUCUUGAUAUUGGAUUCAUAUCCAUCCUAAUAAAAAAUUAGAUCGAAUCGGAUCAUGGUCGAAUUUAUUGACCUAUUGGAUCAUUCGGAUCGGGUUGGGUCCAUAUACAAUCCGGCUUCAAUCUAUGAAUGUGGGUCCGGUUCGAAUGCGCUUCGGAACGGGUCGGAUCGAAUCACGAGUUUAAUUUAUUUGAAACCUACCAUCAGUGAAUACUAAUGCUAAAUGACAAUUAAGAAAAGCUUCUUUUCUUUUUUUUCCUCUAAUCUUUCAACUGUAAUUUUUAAUAAUUAAUUAUAUUAGAUAGCAAAGAAAA